rnacentral:other from 1 species
UGAGUCCUGAUGUGUACGUUAAGGUACCUAUCGUUUUGACCGAACAUUUCUAACUUCGGGAGUUCGGAGUUUCUAACUGGCAUCCAUGCCUUUCGUAUAAGGACGGAUAAAGGUUGGGAUAGAACACCCACCUGCGGAGAGCGGGUUCAAAACAAAAGGCUUUUUUGCAAAACGGCAUGAUUGGGGCUCAA